rnacentral:misc_RNA from 1 species
GAUGAAGAACGCAGCGAAUUGCGAUACUUGGUGUGAAUCGCAGAAUCCCGUGAACCAUUGAGUCUUUGAACGCAAGUUGCGCCCGAAGCCAUCAGGUUGAGGGCACGUCUGCCUGGGCGUCACAUAUCGUUGCCCAAUGCCUAUUGCAGUGCAAUAGGAAUUUCUAGGGCGAAUGAUGGCUUCCCGUGAGCGUUGUUGCCUCGCGGUUGGUUGAAAAUCGAGUCCUUGGUAGGGUGUGCCAUGGUAGAUGGUGGUCGAGUUAGAACGAUACCGAUCAUGUGCAUGCUCCCCAAAAUAUGGCCUCUAUGACCCACACGCGUCUUUUGACGCUCAUGACGAGACCUCAGGUCAGGCGGGGCUACCCGCUGAAUUUAAGCAUAUCAAUAAGCGGAGGA